CCUCUAUCUGCCCACGACCCUCGGUCACAAAUAUCAUUCGAACGACGUUCGGCGUCGCGAGGGCGUCCGCGCCCCGCGGCCCGAUGUCCGUGAGGAAUGC
rnacentral:misc_RNA from 1 species